GACGAACCGAGCGAACGUUAUUCGGAAUCACUGGGCUUAAAGGGCGCGUAGGCGGGCCGUCAAGUCGAGGGUGAAAGCCCCCAGCUCAACUGGGGAAGUGCCUCCGAUACUGGCGGUCUCGAGGGGGAUAGGGGCAUGCGGAACUUCCGGUGGAGCGGUGAAAUGCGUAGAUAUCGGAAGGAACACCGGUGGCGAAAGCGGCGUGCUGGAUCCCUUCUGACGCUGAGGCGCGAAAGCCAGGGGAGCGAACGGG
rnacentral:rRNA from 1 species